UACGGAGGGCGCGAGCGUUAAUCGGACUUACUGGGCGUAAAGCGCACGUCGGCGGUCGGAUAAGUCGGAUGUGAAAGCCCUGGGCUUAACCUGGGAACUGCAUUCGAUACUGUCUGGCUAGAGUAUGGGAGAGGGAAGCAGAAUUUCCGGUGUAGCGGUGAAAUGCGUAGAUAUCGGAAGGAAUACCAAUGGCGAAGGCAGCUUCCUGGCCCAAUACUGACGCUCAGGUGCGAAAGCGUGGGGAUCAAACAGG
rnacentral:rRNA from 1 species